GGUUGCGUAGUCUAUAUAGGAUAUUAAAUUGCAAGUUUAAAGGAAAGGUUAGAAAUAUUUUGCAACUU
rnacentral:tRNA from 1 species